AUUGAACGCUGGCGGCAGGCCUAACACAUGCAAGUCGAGCGGAUGAGGGGUGCUUGCACCCUGAUUCAGCGGCGGACGGGUGAGUAAUGCCUAGGAAUCUGCCCGAUAGUGGGGGACAACGUUUCGAAAGGAACGCUAAUACCGCAUACGUCCUACGGGAGAAAGUGGGGGCUCUUCGGACCUCACGCUAUCGGAUGAGCCUAGGUCGGAUUAGCUAGUUGGUGGGGUAAAGGCUCACCAAGGCGACGAUCCGUAACUGGUCGUAGAGGAUGAUCAGUCACCCUGUAACGGAGACACGGUCCAGACUCCUACGGGAGGCAGCAGUGGGGAAUAUUGGACAAUGGGCGACAGCCUGAUCCAGCCAUGCCGCGUGUGUGAAGAAGGUCUUCGGAUUGUAAAGCACUUGAAGUCGGGAGGAAGGGCUGCAGGUUAAUACCUUGCAGCCUUGACGUUACCGACAGAAUAAGCACCGGCUAACUUCGUGCCAGCCGCCGCCGUAACAC
rnacentral:rRNA from 1 species